CUGGAACGCGCCCCAGGCGCACCCAGAAACCCUUUGUGAACUUAUACCUUACUGUUGCCUCGGCGCAUGCCGGCCCCCCUUGGGGCCCCUCUCCUGGAGGAGCAAGGCACGCCGGCGGCCAACCUAACUCUUGUUUUUACACUGAAACUCUGAGAAUAAAACAUAAAUGAAUCAAAACUUUCAACAACGGAUCUCUUGGUUCUGGCAUCGAUGAAGAACGCAGCGAAAUGCGAUAAGUAAUGUGAAUUGCAGAAUUCAGUGAAUCAUCGAAUCUUUGAACGCACAUUGCGCCCUCUGGUAUUCCGGAGGGCAUGCCUGUUCGAGCGUCAUUUCAACCCUCAAGCCUGGCUUGGUGAUGGGGCACUGCUUUUACCCAAGAGCAGGCCCUGAAAUUCAGUGCCGAGCUCGCCAGGACCCCGAGCGCAGUAGUUAAACCCUCGCUCUGGAAGGCCCUGGCCGUGCCCUGCCGUUAAACCCCCAACUUCUGAAAAU
rnacentral:misc_RNA from 1 species